ensembl:lncRNA
UGUAAAUCUGGUGCGUCGCGCCGCUUCCACUGAAAGGUUUUUGUUUUGCUGUCUCCUUUUGUGGUUAAAAUUGAUUUACUUCCCGUUCUUUUUAUUUCACCCAAGAUUAAGUUUUAUUUUGCAAGGGCUGGAUAAUAUUUCCAAUCAACUGUGGGGAGCACGAAUCGGGAGUGUGCGACUUUUACAAUACUUGUUCUGUUGACGGUCAGACAGGUCCUGACUCAUGUGCAGAGCACCACCUGCUACUCUUCUGCUGCCAUCCUGGGGGGUGUAAUUCUGUGAAAACUCGCCUAGUACAGCAUCAAAGUUUCACAGAUUGUCAAGCUGUCCCACUCCCUGGAUCCUCACCUUUCUCCUUCAGACACUUCUUGGCCUCCCCAGUCUUCUGAGGGUCCCUGGGGGCCCCGGACCGCCCAUGGGGUACAGGCGGAAGAGUCCGGGGCCCUGAAUGAAAAUGAGAAACCCCUCCAUACCCUGGGGGGCAGCACUCAGUCCACAGUUUUAUCCCACGAUGUGUCCACCCUUACAGACCUGUGCUACAGUUCGGACCUGCCAGAGGUGGAAGUUGUUAGCUUGCUGUCGGAGGAGCUACCCAGAUACACUCUGCGGGCAGACUGCGUGUUUGGGUAUGACCAUGAUGACUGGCUGCACACGCCUCUUCUCCCUCCGGAGGGAGUGCUGGGACUCACACCUGAGUUAAUCGAAGAAACUCUCAAGUACUUCCGUAAGUGAUUCUUCUCUCUCAUCAAUCGUUUUUUUUCUAAUUUCCCCAGCGAAAUCAACACAAAACGCUGAAUUUCAUUUUUUUAACCACAUUCUGAUCUCAUGUCGGAAGGUUGGUAGCUAAUAUUCCAAUAAACAAAAACUCAUCUGCCCUCAUUUACUAGUCAAAUGUUUGCACACACCUACUCAUUUAUGGGUCUUGCAUUUUUUACGAAUGUAAAAAACCACAGGGCCAUGAAAUAACAUGUAAGGUUUUGU